UACAGAGGUCCCGAGCGUUGUUCGGAUUCACUGGGCGUAAAGGGUGCGUAGGUGGUGGGGUAAGUCGGAUGUGAAAGCUCGGAGCUCAACUCCGAAAUGGCAUUGGAAACUACCCUGCUGGAGGUUUGGAGGGGGGACUGGAAUACUUGGUGUAGCAGUGAAAUGCGUAGAUAUCAAGUGGAACACCAGUGGCGAAGGCGGCCUACUGGGCCAGCACUGACGCUGAGGCGCGAAAGCUCGGGGAGCGAACGGG
rnacentral:rRNA from 1 species